rnacentral:tRNA from 2 species
CGGGAUGUAGCGCAGUUUGGUAGCGCUCUUGUUUUGGGAAUAAGAGGUCGCAGGUUCGAAUCCUGUCAUCCCGA